AGCGCGCCUGUUUUGGGAACAGGAGGCCCUCGGUUCGAUCCCGAGCACCCCGACCA
rnacentral:tRNA from 1 species